UACACUCCUACGGGAGGCAGCAGUGGGGAAUAUUGGACAAUGGGCGCAAGCCUGAUCCAGCCAUGCCGCGUGAGUGAUGAAGGCCCUAGGGUUGUAAAGCUCUUUCACCGGUGAAGAUAAUGACGGUAACCGGAGAAGAAGCCCCGGCUAACUUCGUGCCAGCAGCCGCGGUAAUACGAAGGGGGCUAGCGUUGUUCGGAUUUACUGGGCGUAAAGCGCACGUAGGCGGACUAUUAAGUCAGGGGUGAAAUCCCGGGGCUCAACCCCGGAACUGCCUUUGAUACUGGUAGUCUUGAGUUCGAGAGAGGUGAGUGGAAUUCCGAGUGUAGAGGUGAAAUUCGUAGAUAUUCGGAGGAACACCAGUGGCGAAGGCGGCUCACUGGCUCGAUACUGACGCUGAGGUGCGAAAGCGUGGGGAGCAAACAGGAUUAGAUACCCGUGUAGUCC
rnacentral:rRNA from 1 species